rnacentral:rRNA from 1 species
UACAGAGGUCCCAAGCGUUGUUCGGAUUCACUGGGCGUAAAGGGUGCGUAGGUGGCCAGGUAAGUUUGAUGUGAAAGCUCGGAGCUUAACUCCGAAAUGGCAUUGAAUACUCUCUGGCUAGAGGGCUGGAGAGGAGAUCGGAAUUCACGGUGUAGCAGUGAAAUGCGUAGAUAUCGUGAGGAAGACCAGUGGCGAAGGCGGAUCUCUGGACAGCUCCUGACGCUGAGGCGCGAAGGCUAGGGGAGCAAACGGG